GACGAACGCUGGCGGCGUGCCUAAUACAUGCAAGUAGAACGCUGAAGCGAGGAGCUUCCUCUUCUUGGAUGAGUUGCGAACGGGUGAGUAACGCGUAGGUAACCUGCCUUGUAGCGGGGGAUAACUAUUGGAAACGAUAGCUAAUACCGCAUAACAAUGGAUGACACAUGUCAUUUAUUUGAAAGGGGCAAUUGCUCCACUACAAGAUGGACCUGCGAUGUAUUAGCUAGUAGGUGAGGUAAUGGCUCACCUAGGCGACGAUACAUAGCCGACCUGAGAGGGUGAUCGGCCACACUGGGACUGAGACACGGCCCAGACUCCUACGGGAGGCAGCAGUAGGGAAUCUUCGGCAAUGGGGGCAACCCUGACCGAGCAACGCCGCGUGAGUGAAGAAGGUUUUCGGAUCGUAAAGCUCUGUUGUAAGUCAAGAACGGGUGUGAGAGUGGAAAGUUCACACUGUGACGGUAGCUUACCAGAAAGGGACGGCUAACUACGUG
rnacentral:rRNA from 1 species